UCCGGCUCUACGCCGGCAGUCUCUCUAGAGUCCCCGACAUUACUCGCUGGCAACUAGUCACAAGGGUUGCGCUCGUUGCGGGACUUAACCCAACAUCUCACGUCACGAGCUGACGACAGCCAUGCAGCACCUGUGCAGGAGUCCCGAAGGACACCCCGAGUUUCCCCAGGAUUUCCCCUGCAUGUCAAGCCCUGGUAAGGUUCUUCGCGUUGCGUCGAAUUGAACCACAUGCUCCGCUGCUUGUGCGGGUCCCCGUCAAUUCCUUUGAGUUUUAGCCUUGCGGCCGUACUCCCCAGGCGGGGCACUUAAUGCGUUAGCUUCGGCACAGGAGGAGUCGACACCUCCCACACCUAGUGCCCAUCGUUUACGGCGUGGACUAC
rnacentral:misc_RNA from 1 species